ACCUGGUUGGCUCAGUCAGUAGAGCAUGUGACUCUUGAUCUUGGGGUUGUAAGUUCAAACCCUAUGUUGGGUA
rnacentral:tRNA from 1 species